rfam:Streptosporangium subroseum strain CGMCC 4.2132 genome assembly, contig: Ga0079903_1042
ACCUCUGUGGCGCAGUGGAGAGCGCGCCCGCUUGCGGAGCGGGAGGUCGCCGGUUCGAUUCCGGCCAGAGGUG